rnacentral:rRNA from 1 species
UACGUAGGCAGCGAGCGUUGUUCGGAUUUACUGGGUGUAAAGGGUGCGCAGGCGGACUGGUUAGUCUGGGGUGAAAUCUCAUCGCUUAACGGUGAAACUGCCUUAGAUACUGCCAGUCUUGAAUCAGCGAGAGGUUCGUGGAAUUCCGAGUGUAGCAGUGAAAUGUGUAGAUAUUCGGAAGAACACCAGUGGCGAAGGCAGCGAACUGGCGCUCAAUUGACGCUCAGGCACGAAAGCAUGGGGAUCAAACAGG